UACGUAGGGCGCAAGCGUUGUCCGGAAUUUAUUGGGCGAAAGAGCUCGUAGGCGGUUUGUCGCGUCUGCUGUGAAAAUCCCCGAGGCUCAACCUCGGGUCUGCAGUGGGUACGGGCAGACUGGAGUGCGGUAGGGGAGAAUGGAAUUCCUGGUGUAGCGGUGGAAUGCGCAGAUAUCAGGAGGAACACCGAUGCGAAGGCAGUUCUCUGGGCCGUAACUGACGCUGAGGAAGCGAAAGCGUGGGGAGCGAACAGG
rnacentral:rRNA from 1 species